GUCAUUUGCAUAACGACGGUCAUGAUCGAUCGUUUGACAAAAGCCGAUUAGUAUUUGGCACAAAAGAAAGUAGAAAACGAUAUUAGAAACCCGUGUGUGUAUGCUAGGCCAUUUUUAAAGCACCCGCCCGAGGGUGCCAGUGUGCUUGGCGAUGUAGAUGGAACGAAUGCCAUGUCGCGAGGUGCGGCAGGUGGGGUUGGCGUUUAACAUGUUGUCCUAAUACCAGUCCACGAUGCAGAAACAAAUGACUCAUUAAUUCUGUGGCGGAUAUAACAUACGAACACAAUCGCUGACGGCCCAAAAUACAAGAUACAGACAUGUCACAUAAUAAAUGCAUGAGUUGUGAAAAGUUUUAUACGUAUGCUUUUCGCAUUAAAAAAUACACGAAUAAA